rnacentral:rRNA from 1 species
GUCCACGCCCUAAACGAUGUCGACUGGUUGUUGGGGGGUUUGACACUCUCAGUAACGAAGCUAACGCGUGAAGUCGACCGCCUGGGGAGUACGGCCGCAAGGUUAAAACUCAAAGGAAUUGACGGGGACCCGCACAAGCGGUGGAUUAUGUGGAUUAAUUCGAUGCAACGCGAAAAACCUUACCUACCAUUGACAUGUCAUGGAGCCUGGUGAAAGCCGGGUGUGCCCGAAAGGGAACGGGAACACAGGUGCUGCAUGGCUGUCGU